rnacentral:rRNA from 1 species
GUGAGGAAUAUUGCGCAAUGGAGGCAACUCUGACGCAGCCAUGCCGCGUGCAGGAAGAAGGCGCUACGCGUUGUAAACUGCUUUUAACCGGGAAGAAACCCCAGGACGUGUCCUGGGUUGACGGUACCGGAGGAAUAAGCACCGGCUAACUUCGUGCCAGCAGCCGCGGUAAUACGAAGGGUACAAGCGUUAUCCGGAUCCAUUGGGUUUAAAGGGUGCGUAGGCGGAGCGUUAAGUCAGUGGUGAAAUCCUGCAGCUUAACUGUAGACUUGCCAUUGAUACUGGCGCUCUUGAGUGCGCUUGAAGUGGGCGGAAUGUGCCGUGUAGCGGUGAAAUGCUUAGAUAUGGCACAGAACACCAAUUGCGAAGGCAGCUCACUAAGGCGAUACUGACGCUGAGGCACGAAAGCGUGGGGAUCGAACAGGAUUAGAAACCCGAGUAGUCC